AGACUUACCUGGCAGGAGAGAUACCAUGAUCAUGAAGGUGAUUUUCCCAGGGCGAGUCUUAUCCAUUGCACUCCAGAUAUGCUGACCCCUGUGAUUUCCCCAAAUGUGAAAAACUCAACUGCAUAAUUUGUGGUAGUGGAGGACUGCAUUUGCGCUCUCCCCUG